ACGGGGAGCAGCCCAGAGCCUGAAUCAGUGUGUGUGUUAGUGGAAGCGUCUGGAAAGGCGUGCGAUACAGGGUGACAGCCCCGUACACAAAAAUGCACAUAUUGUGAGCUUGAUGAGUAGGGCGGGACACGUGGUAUCCUGUCUGAAUAUGGGGGGACCAUCCUCCAAGGCUAAAUACUCCUGACUGACCGAUAGUGAACCAGUACCGUGAGGGAAAGGCGAAAAGAACCCCGGCGAGGGGAGUGAAAAAGAACCUGAAACCGUGUACGUACAAGCAGUGGGAGCACGCUUAGGCGUGUGACUGCGUACCUUUUGUAUAAUGGGUCAGCGACUUAUAUUCUGUAGCAAGGUUAACCGAAUAGGGGAGCCGAAGGGAAACCGAGUCUUAACUGGGCGUUAAGUUGCAGGGUAUAGACCCGAAACCCGGUGAUCUAGCCAUGGGCAGGUUGAAGGUUGGGUAACACUAACUGGAGGACCGAACCGACUAAUGUUGAAAAAUUAGCGGAUGACUUGUGGCUGGGGGUGAAAGGCCAAUCAAACCGGGAGAUAGCUGGUUCUCCCCGAAAGCUAUUUAGGUAGCGCCUCGUGAAUUCAUCUCCGGGGGUAGAGCACUGUUUCGGCA
rnacentral:rRNA from 1 species